CAGUCGGCAGUGGUGGAAGAAGCCGUCCGCCGGCCGAAAGCGCCAUCCGCACAGAGAUGGUGGACGUCGACCACGUUUGCUCUUCUCCCACCUCCGCGGCCACGAGUAUUGAAGAUCAAGUAGCAUCUAUCCUGUACCAUUUAGGAAAAAGCAAGAAGAACUCUUAUGAAGACGUCGAAAGAUGCGGUGCGAAUUCUUCCCACAUCAAACCUAAGG